rnacentral:rRNA from 1 species
AAGAAUACGUAUUAAAGACCUCAUACCCACCCCUCGGGGGAGGUAGCGCGCGCAACUGUUGAAUGUCAAAGAAUGACCGUGGGCCGCACAAGCCGAGGGACAUGUGGGUUAAAUUCGAUGAUAACGCGAAGGGAACGUACCCCGGGCUUGAACUGCAGCUGAACGAUCAGAGAUGAUGAGGUCCUUCGGGACGGCUGUGGAGGUGCUGCAUGGUUGUCGUCAAGCUCGUGCCGUGAGGGUGUCGGGCUUAAGUGCCAUAACGAGCGCAAACCCUUUUCUUCUAGUUGCCCAUCAGGUCGAGCUGGGCACUCUGAGACACUGCCACCGUAAGGUGUGAGGAAGGUGGGGAUGACGUCAAAUCAGCACGGCCCUUACGUCCGGGGCGGCGCGCGUGUUACAAUGGGUGGUAAAAAAGAAAUGGAUGCACGCAAAGGCGGGGGUAAAAAUUAAAGCCAUCCUCAGUUCGGAUUGGGGUCUGCAACCCGACCCCAUGAAGCUGGAUUCGAUAGAAAUCGCGCAUCAGCCAUGGCGCGGUGAAUACGUUCCCGGGCCUUGUACACACCGCCCGUCAAGCCAUGAAAGCCGGGGGCGCCUG